GGUCGCUUAGCUCAGUUGGUUAGAGCGUGGUGCUAAUAUGGCGGGUCCUGACAACAGGAGCUUCAUCAGUUGACGCCAAGGUCGCGAGUUCGACCCUCGUAGUGACCA